UACAGAGGUCUCAAGCGUUGUUCGGAUUCAUUGGGCGUAAAGGGUGCGUAGGUGGCGCGCUAAGUCAGGUGUGAAAUUUCGGAGCUCAACUCCGAAACUGCAUUUGAUACUGGCGUGCUUGAGGACUGGAGAGGAGACUGGAAUUUACGGUGUAGCAGUGAAAUGCGUAGAUAUCGAGAGGAACACCUGCGGCGAAGGCGGGUUGCUGGGCUGAUGACUGACGCUGGAGGCGCGAAAGCCAGGGGAGCGAACGGGG
rnacentral:rRNA from 1 species